rnacentral:tRNA from 1 species
GCGCCUGUGGUCUAGCGGCUAGGAUUCAACCAUUCCAAGGUUGAGAGGGGGGAGGGGCUCGAUUCCUCUUGACGCA